rnacentral:rRNA from 1 species
CCUACGGGAGGCUGCAGUGGGGAAUCUUGCGCAAUGGGCGAAAGCCUGACGCAGCCAUGCCGCGUGAAUGAUGAAGGUCUUAGGAUUGUAAAAUUCUUUCACCGGGGACGAUAAUGACGGUACCCGGAGAAGAAGCCCCGGCUAACUUCGUGCCAGCAGCCGCGGUAAUACGAAGGGCGCUAGCGUUGCUCGGAAUUACUGGGCGUAAGGGCGCGUAGGCGGACAUUUAAGUCAGGGGUGAAAUGCCAGAGCUCAACCCUGGAACUGCCUUUGAUACUGGGUGUCUUGAGUGUGCGAGAGGUAUGUGGAACUCCUAGUGUAGCGGUGAAAUUCGUAGAUAUCCGGCAGAACACCGAUGGCGAAGGCGACAUACCGGCUCACUACUGACGCUGAGGCGCGAAAGCGUGGGGAGCAAACAGGAUUAGAUACCCUAGUAGUC